rnacentral:rRNA from 1 species
GAUGAACGCUGGCGGCGUGCCUAAUACAUGCAAGUCGAGCGAACAGACGAGGAUCUUGCUCCUCUGACGUUAGCGGCGGACGGGUGAGUAACACGUGGAUAACCUACCUAUAAGACUGGGAUAACUUCGGGAAACCGGAGCUAAUACCGGAUAAUAUAUUGAACCGCAUGGUUCAAUAGUGAAAGACGGUUUUGCUGUCGCUUAUAGAUGGAUCCGCGCCGAAUUAGCUAGUUGGUAAGGUAACGGCUUACCAAGGCGACGAUGCGUAGCCGACCUGAGAGGGUGAUCGGCCACACUGGAACUGAGACACGGUCCAGAGUCCUACGGGAGGCAGCAGUAGGGAAUCUUCCGCAAUGGGCGAAAGCUUGACGGAGCAACGCCGCGUGAGUGAUGAAGGUCUUCGGAUCGUAAAACUCUGUUAUUAGGGAAGAACAAAUGUGUAAGUAACUAUGCACGUCUUGACGGUACCUAAUCAGAAAGCCACGGCUAACUACGUG